CCGGCGGCCGUAUCUCCAUUAUUUUUCCAAACUAGUAAAAACCAACCGGCCUCCAGGCAUGGUUAACUUCUGCGCCGCGGUCGGCUGCUCCAACAGAGCCGGGCCCGACGGCAACAAGUCGUUCUUCAGGAUUCCCGCUGUCAUAACGAGGCAGGGAGAACAAACUGAGAAACUUUCCUCUCAGCGUCAAAGGGAUUGGCUGGCGGCGUUGUCCAGGGCGGACCUAAACACGGCUAAUCUGGCCCAGUAUCGCGUCUGCUCGGAUCAUUUUGUCACUGGCAAGCCAGCGCAGCUGUACGAUUUCCUUAAUCCGGACUGGGUUCCAACCAUGAACAUGGGACAGAACAAAUUCAAGCGUGGAUCCGCAAGAAAAAAAUGCGCAAGAUUUCAGCAAAACGCAGAACAGGCAGCAAAACGACGGCACCUGGACGCUGCGGCCAGUCCGCUAGCGUCGCGGGAUGACGGCUCGUCGCCCGACGCAAAUCCGCGUACAGACUCUGCUGACCCUACCGAUACUGAAGGCGGUGACGACCAAGAGUCCCGCGGAAGUGCAGACGCUGAUGAGCGGCGCCCAAAUCGAGCGCGUUCAGUCGGAGGUGCGGAGGCUCACCCUUGAGAGCAUCCGGCUGGAGAAAUCCCUCAGCAACCAUCGCGUCGCCGCGAGGAGGACGCUUUUCGAGGGAAUGAUGAGAAAGUGAAAUAUUUCACAGGCCUCCCCAAUUUUGAGACACUGAAGGCGGUUUUUGGCUACGACGGACGAGAAUUCCUCGGUGUCAACGUUCCAGCAGAUGAUGCUGGUCUUGAUGAAACCGAGGCUAAACAAACAUGCCUCCGACUGUGCUAAGCGACUGGUUCCUGGCGCUGGCGUCGCCGUCCGCCGUUUCCCGCACGUAUUCGAGUGCUGUGGAUGUCACGUACGCAAAAAUGAAGCCGCCGAUUGUAUGGCCAGAGAGGGAACGGAUAAUACGGACCACGCCAACGGACUUUCGCCAACAGUUUCAGCAACAAGUUGCCGUUAUUAUCGAGCGUUUCGAAACGUUGAUAGAAAGUCCGUCGGAUCGCGAGGCCGAGGCACUGACGUGGUCGUCGUACAAGCGUUAAGAAUACCGCAAAGUACCUGAUUGGAAUUCUUCCCCGGGGGUCGUUUCAUAUAUUUCACCUGGUUGGGGAGGGAGCGCCUCACAGAACGUUCCGAUCUGCUGCAAAACCUUCUCCCGGGCGACCCGGUUUUAGCCGCUCGGGGGUUCGACAUCGCGGAUUCUGGCGGUUCCGUAUGCGCCCAACUGGUCGUGCCCGGCGUUGACCGCGGGUAAAAAUCAACUUUCUGCCCCGGAAGUUGAAGACACUCGCGGAAUGGCGAACGUGCGCGUUCUCGUGGAAAGGAUUAUUGGAAAUUUGCGGCGAAAAUAUGGAUUCUUUGGCGGUGUCGUGCCAGUGGAUCGCUCGACGGCCCCCCGAGGUGACGUUCCCACGUUAGAUAAAGGAGGUUGUCGUUUGUCGCGCGUUGCUCAACCUCAGCCAAUCCGUGGUGCCGUUCAACCCAUGUAACGUACAAUACGGACGAGCACGUGUCGAGGAUCAUAAAUCCUGAUGAAAGAGGUGAAUUUCUUUUUUUUUUUUUUUUUACAUUUGUAGUUGAAGCGUAGAAAUGAAUCAUGAACGCACUAUGUUGAAAAUUGCGUUCAACAGUGAAAUCAGCGGAAUAUAGCAAAUUGAAAUAAAAUGAUAAAGUCAAUGUGA